rnacentral:rRNA from 1 species
AACGAACGCUGGCGGCAGGCCUAACACAUGCAAGUCGAGCGAGGACUUCGGUCCUAGCGGCGGACGGGUGAGUAACGCGUGGGAACGUGCCCUUUGCUUCGGAAUAGCCCUGGGAAACUGGGAGUAAUACCGGAUGAGCCCUUUGGGGGAAAGAUUUAUCGGCGAAGGAUCGGCCCGCGUUGGAUUAGGUAGUUGGUAGGGUUAUGGGCUACCAAGCCGACGAUCCAUAGGUGGGUUGUGAGGGACGUCAGCCACACCGGGACUGAGAACACGCCCAGACUCCUACGGAAGGGAGGAAUGGGGGAUGUUGAAAAGACGGGGGAAUCCUGAACGUGCCAGGCCCGCGAAGCUAUGAAAGCCUGAAGGUUGUAAAGCCCAUUCAGCUGGGAAGAUAAUGACGGUACCAGCAGAAGAAGCCCCGGCUAACUCCGUG